CGGCAUAUCAAAGAACCCCAAUUAUUCAAUUUUGAUGAAAUCAAACAAAGUUUAAUUUUGGACCCUUUGGGCCCCUUAUUCUGUUGGGAACCAAAAACUCCCAAAAUCAAUACCAACCUUCCUUUUAUGGUCAUAAACCUUGUGUUUAAAUUUCAUAGAUUUCUAUUUACUUAUACUAACGUUAUGGUGCGAAAACCAAGAAAAAUGCUUAUUUGGGUCCCUUUUUGGCCCCUAAUUCCUAAACUGUUGGGACCUAAACUCCCAAAAUCAAUACCAACCUUCCUUUUGUAGUCAUUAACAUUGUGUUUAAAUUUCAUUGAUUUCUAUUUACUUAAACUAAAGUUAUUGUGUGAAAACCAAGAAUAAUGAUUAUUUGGGCCCUUUUUUGGCCCCUAAUUCCUAAACUGUUGAAACCUAAACUCCCAAAAUCAAUCCCAACCGUUCUUUUGUGGUCAUAAACCUUGUGUCAAAAUUUCAUAGAUUUCUAUUAACUUAAACUAAAGUUAUAGUGCGAAAACCAAGAAAAUGCUUAUUUGGGCCCUUUUUGGCCCCUAAUUCCUAAAAUGUUGGGACCAAAACUCCUAAAAUCAAUACCAACCUUCCUUUUGUGGUCAUAAACCUUGUGUUAAAAUUUCAUAGAUUUCCAUUCACUUUUACUAAAGUUAGAGUGCGAAAACUAAAAGUAUUCGGACGCCGGACGACGACGACGACGACG
rnacentral:lncRNA from 1 species